UAAGUAGAGUAUGUGAUCGCGGCCGGCAGGACCGAAAGGGGCCGGCUGAGGAAAGUCCGGGCUUCGCAGGGCAGGAUGCCGGAUAACGUCCGGCGGAGGUGACUCCAGGGACAGUGCAACAGAGAUAUACCGCCUGUUUUUGACAGGUAAGGGUGGAAAGGCAGUGUAAGAGACUACCGACGUCCCGGUGACGGGUACGUGCCAUGUAAACCCCAUCCGAAGCAAGACCGAAUAGCAAAACCAUGUGGCUGCCCGUCACGUUUUCAGGUAGGUCGCUUGAGCCCUUCGGCAACGAAGGGACACAGAUAGAUGAUCACACACGACAUAACCCGGCUUAUCGCUCUGCUUACAAA
rnacentral:RNase_P_RNA from 1 species